CCUACGGGUGGCAGCAGUGAGGAAUAUUGGUCAAUGGACGGAAGUCUGAACCAGCCAUGUCGCGUGCAGGAAGACGGCUCUAUGAGUUGUAAACUGCUUUUGUACAAGGGUAAACCUGAAUACGUGUAUUCAGCUGAAAGUACUGUACGAAUAAGGAUCGGCUAACUCCGUGCCAGCAGCCGCGGUAAUACGGGGAAUCAAAGUUUUUUCCGGUUUUUUGGGUUUAAAGGGGGCGUAGGGGGAUUGUUAAGUUCAGGGGGAAAUGUGCGAGUCUAAAACGGGAACUGCCUUUUAUACUGUUUAUCUAGAGAGUAGAUGCGGUAGGCGGAAUGUAUGGUGUAGCGGUGAAAUGCUUAGAGAUCACACAGAACACCGAUUGCGAAGGCAGCUUACCAAUCUGUAUCUGACGUUGAGGCACGAAAGCGUGGGUAGCAAACAGGAUUAGAUACCCCGGUAGUC
rnacentral:rRNA from 1 species